UGCCCCAUGGCUGAGUUGGUUACAGCGUCCGACUGUUAUUUCAACGCCAUCGGAAGGUCGUGAGUUCGAGCCUCACUGGGGCAG
rnacentral:tRNA from 1 species